CACAAAUUAACCCACAGUAAUGAAGGAAAUAAAAGUCACUGACUAGUGGAGACCUCGGGAAGUUGAUUGAUAUCACUGAACAAGAAGACAGCAGCAGAUGGAGAGAGGGCGGGUCCAUGACUACAGGAAAUGUAGUUAACAAAGGUUGAAGCUAGAACCUGGAUGUUUGUUGCCAGUCCCUCCGCUGUAUCCAGAUUUCCCUCAUGAUACUGGAGCUUUCCUGAGCAUUGAGGACUUAUUUGACAAUGUGGAACACUUAGCCUCCUGCUCAUUCAUCUGGGUAUCUGUUUAUACCCCUGGUGGAGAACAGAUUCUGCCUAAGAUAAGCCAUUCCAGCCAUGGAAGACGAACUCAGUCUGCUGCAUAGCACAAGUUGUAAGCAAGAAAAAACACUUUCUCUGUUCCAGCUGUAAGUCUUUCUGAGGCAGUCCUGGCUAAAUAUAACACGAUGCCCUUUG
rnacentral:lncRNA from 1 species